rnacentral:sRNA from 2 species
UCGCCCGACGCGCCGCACCGGCGCCGAGGGGGAACCGGGGACCCACCGCAGCACUGGGGUGAGUUCUCCUGCGCGCCGGUCCGCCGGGGUGCAGAGACAGGGCGCCUUCUUCCCAGCCCGAACCCGUCAGCCAACUCGGUAGGCGGUCGCUGAGGAAGAA